rnacentral:rRNA from 1 species
CGAGGGGAGUGAAAAAGAACCUGAAACCGUGUACGUACAAGCAGUGGGAGCACGCUUAGGCGUGUGACUGCGUACCUUUUGUAUAAUGGGUCAGCGACUUAUAUUCUGUAGCAAGGUUAACCGAAUAGGGGAGCCGAAGGGAAACCGAGUCUUAACUGGGCGUUAAGUUGCAGGGUAUAGACCCGAAACCCGGUGAUCUAGCCAUGGGCAGGUUGAAGGUUGGGUAACACUAACUGGAGGACCGAACCGACUAAUGUUGAAAAAUUAGCGGAUGACUUGUGGCUGGGGGUGAAAGGCCAAUCAAACCGGGAGAUAGCUGGUUCUCCCCGAAAGCUAUUUAGGUAGCGCCUCGUGAAUUCAUCUCCGGGGGUAGAGCACUGUUUCGGCAAGGGGGUCAUCCCGACUUACCAACCCGAUGCAAACUGCGAAUACCGGAGAAUGUUAUCACGGGAGACACACGGCGGGUGCUAACGUCCGUCGUGAAGAGGGAAACAACCCAGACCGCCAGCUAAGGUCCCAAAGUCAUGGUUAAGUGGGAAACGAUGUGGGAAGGCCCAGACAGCCAGGAUGUUGGCUUAGAAGCAGCCAUCAUUUAAAGAAAGCGUAAUAGCUCACUGGUCGAGUCGGCCUGCGCGGAAGAUGUAACGGGGCUAAACCAUGCACCGAAGCUGCGGCAGCGACGCUGAUGCGUUGUUGGGUAGGGGAGCGUUCUGUAAGCCUGUGAAGGUGUACUGUGAGGUAUGCUGGAGGUAUCAGAAGUGCGAAUGCUGACAUAAGUAACGAUAAAGCGGGUGAAAAGCCCGCUCGCCGGAAGACCAAGGGUUCCUGUCCAACGUUAAUCGGGGCAGGGUGAGUCGACCCCUAAGGCGAGGCCGAAAGGCGUAGUCGAUGGGAAACAGGUUAAUAUUCCUGUACUUGGUGUUACUGCGAAGGGGGGACGGAGAAGGCUAUGUUGGCCGGGCGACGGUUGUCCCGGUUUAAGCGUGUAGGCUGGUUUUCCAGGCAAAUCCGGAAAAUCAAGGCUGAGGCGUGAUGACGAGGCACUACGGUGCUGAAG